GCCGCCGUGCACCGAUUUCCUCCGGUCGCGUAGUCGUUCACGCGGUAGACCGGGGAGUAGGCGGCCCCGGGGCUGGACAGCUGCGGGAACAGAAAGCGACGCCGGGCCUGCGUCUGCAAGACCUGGGCUGGGUUCUGCCCUCUGCCCCUGAGCCGCGACCCGUCGGGCACCUCGCCGCAGCGCUGGGAUUGCUCGGCCUGCGGAGCGGGAAGAUGAAAGCAGCCGCUCGGGCGGAGGCGCCUUGCGGAGUUCGGCCCCGGCAGCGGGCGCUGGAGGAACGGUCGGUUCAGGCCUCCUGGCAAAGGAACUGGUGCCCAGGAAUGGCAGUGGGUUUUGGAGCCCCAGAAGGUUCCCAGCACCUCCAGGGGAAGUCCACUCCUGAGGUUAAAGUCUUCUGGGCGCCAGGAGAGCUCCUCCAGGGGGGCCAGACAACCACCAGUGGAGUACUCUGUCCUCAGUGUUCGACUGGGGGGUAGACUGCAGCUCCGUCCAGCUACAACACUCUCUGAAUCCGUGAGCGCACGAGGACGAAGCAUUGCCCAAACGUUCCUGAAUCGUCGCCCCUCCCUGCCCCCAACAAAACCAGGGAAAGAAGUGUCCCUGUUUGGGGAGUGUCCCUGGCUCUCUUAGACUGGUCAUGGGGAACUUCUCAUUGGGACCUUGGCUGAUUCUUCCCUGAUCAGAUCCAAGACCGUCCUGAGCAUCCAGGAUUCCUCUUCUUGAGUGGGAAACCCAGCCCCUCAUCCCUCUUUGAAUGCGAGAGUGAACUACAUAAGCUACUGUACUCACGGGUGUGCAGGGAGACAGAUUCUCUGACGAUGCGUAAGGUCAACAAAGGUACAAGGAUGUUUCCUACCACAGACCCUCCAAGGCACUUCCCCCAAGGUCUUCCUCCUCUUCCCCGCCCCCAGACUGGUCUCUCCCAAACCUUUUGCUCUCUGUACUCUUCCCAGAAAUGUGUUGGUGGGUUUCCAUGGGUUAGCUAUUUUCACAAAAGACCCAGUUCCUGACGAUGUCCCAGGUUCUGUCGACCUUUCUUGGCCAGAAUAACCCAUGGACGAGUGUCUUCCUGGAACCGUCUGCCGCCCGACUCUCUGUCCUGGGUCCUGGCCAAGACCUAAGAGCCAUUCAUUCAGGGCUCAGUAGUAAUGCCUGUUACGUGCAUAGACACUGAAGAUAUAAAAUGAGCAAAGCCCACUCCUGACCCUGGAGAAGCUUUCCUUCUAAUUGUUUUGUAGUUUGGGCUGCCCUACUUUCCCCUAAAAUUUGUUACCAGCUCUUUGCCUCAGUAAAGCCUCUUUUUGGCUGACUCACUUACCUUUUGCGUUUGUCCCAAGGAUCACGGAUACUAGUGACUAUCAUGCCGAGUGCCUCUCACAUGUCAGUCUUGAUGUCGAACACUGCACCUUCUUUUUCCCAUUUCAUCCUGGAAAAUAACAAUCUGUGCCUCCCACUUACCCCUGAUGACCCAAAAGAGAUGAACUCGCUUACCUGAGUUCCAACAGCUGGGAUCUGAGCCCAGAUGUGGUCCGACUUAGAAAUGCCGGACUCUCCCCUCUCCGCCCCCUUUGUUGGGAUGGUUGAGUGUUUCUCACUGGAGAACCUGGUGUCAGCCACCAGGGCUAGUUGGAUUCAACUGUAGGCCUCAGGAGUGCAGGAUUCUUGUCUGAUUUCUGCCCUCAUGCCCAGAUGCCUGGAAUGGUGCCUGGCAAAUAUCUGUUGAAUCGACUGGAAUGAAUGAAACACUGAAAACCCCCUUCGCCACCCACUAUCCUCAAGCAUGGCCUUGGCCACCAUCCACCAUGGUGCAUUCUGUGCACCGAGACACGAUGGGGGUGAAUCUCAGCUGGGGGGCUUGGGGUAUUCUCCAGG